rnacentral:rRNA from 1 species
GACGAACGCGGGCGGCGUGCUUAACACAUGCAAGUCGAACGAAAAUACCAAGCUUGCUUGGUUGAUUAGUGGCGAACGGGUGAGUAACACGUGAGUAACCUGCCCCUUACUUUCCUGGAUAACUGCUCGAAAGGGUAGCUAAUACGGGAUAUUCUGGCCUUCCUGCAUGGGUUGGUUCGGAAAGGUUGUUUUCUGGUAAGGGAUGGGCUCGCGGCCUAUCAGCUUGUUGGUGGGGUGAUGGCCUACCAAGGCUUUGACGGGUAGCCGGCCUGAGAGGGUGGACGGUCACACUGGGACUGAGAUACGGCCCAGACUCCUACGGGAGGCAGCAGUGGGGAAUAUUGCACAAUGGGCGCAAGCCUGAUGCAGCGACGCCGCGUGAGGGAUGAAGGCCUUCGGGUUGUAAACCUCUUUCGUCAGGGAACAAGGCACUACGUUUUGGUGGUGUUGAGGGUACCUGGAUAGGAAGCGCCGGCUAACUACGUGCCAGCAGCCGCGGUAAUACGUAGGGCGCAAGCGUUGUCCGGAAUUAUUGGGCGUAAAGAGCUCGUAGGCGGCUGGUCGCGUCUGUCGUGAAAACUUCCGGCUCAACCGGGGGCUUGCGGUGGGUACGGGCCGGCUAGAGUGCGGUAGGGGUAACUGGAACUCCUGGUGUAGCGGUGGAAUGCGCAGAUAUCAGGAAGAACACCGAUGGCGAAGGCAGGUUACUGGGCCGUUACUGACGCUGAGGAGCGAAAGCGUGGGGAGCGAACAGG